rnacentral:tRNA from 1 species
AGCAGAGUCAGCUAAAACAAGCUCUUGGGCCCAUACCCCACCAAUGUAGGUUAAAGUCCUGCCCCUACUA